GCCCGAUCCACUCCCACCCCACCACUCUCUCUCUCUCAUCCCUAAAAGAUCUCUCUAUCUCAUCCUCGGUCCACCCCCAUCCCGGGCGUCUCGCUCACCGGAGGAGUCUCGCUCGGCCUCCCCUCUCCCUGAUCUAGCCGCCACCUCUCGCCCUCCCGCGAACUCCAUGGCGACUGCGGCCUGAUCUGCAUCCUCGCCGGCCCUGCUGCCUCGCCGCCGCCCUGCUGACCCCGUCUACCUCGCCGCCGCCCUAGUCUUCAAAUCGCGGCUGCCCCACUUCAACCUGCCCGCCGCCAGGUCCAGCACACCGUCGCCGUCGGCCGGGAGAGGGACUUGGUGUUGUAAAACUAUUCUGUAGAGCGGCGUACAAGCUAGUCAUGCGGGCUGCGGCGGCUGACGACGCUGGUUGACCUUCUCCUGUGCGUGCAGGGCAACAUCGACGCUGGACCAGAUGGACGAGCUGCAGUGCCAAACUGGGAGAGGAAUAGACGCUCCAGCAGCAGUGGUAUUCUCUAUGCAAUCAAACAAGAAGCAUUUAGUGUUGUUUCACCGAAUCAAAAGAGACCAAAAUCAGACCACAUAUGAUUGCAGAUUAUGCGUGUGUAUGUGGAGAAGAUAACUGGGUCGAUUGAUUUGAUGUUAAUUUGUUUGCUUCACUCUGUUUAUUUAUGGCUACGACGACGGCGGCGGCACACGAGAUGAGGCGCAGGUGGGCGCCGAGGGGGAGAGCCAGCAGCCGGCGCUGGAGUAUGAGGAGAGGAUCCACAAGUUCCUCGGCGUGAUGGUUGACGGGGAGAGACGACACUGCCGGUUUGCUGAAGUGGUAGGUUGCCAUUCAGGCACUCAGGAAGGUGCCAAGGAGAUGUUGGACCAAGGCAUGGAGGCACUACGAGCUGAAGAGCACAUAGCUGCAGAUGCUGGAGGCCGGCCCGGUGAGCCGAGGAUUGGAGGUAGCGCUGAUUGGUGUUUUUAUGGAGAGAUAGGAUGCCACUGUUUGGUGUUUUUAUGCAUUUUGGUUUGCUUGUAACUGUGUUUGCACUAGCUGGGAGUAAGUGACUUGGCAAGAAGUGUAGGUGUUUUAAUUGAAGGCAUGAAAAGCCAUGACAAUAUGUAUGCUCUUACAGGAUGUGCUCUAAUGCUGCUGGUUUAUUAUAAAUCUUGGAUUAGUAAUGA